rnacentral:tRNA from 1 species
GAGGGUAGAGUUCAGUGGUAGAGCACAUGCUUAGCAUGCACGAAGUCCUGGGCUCAAUGCCCAGUACCUCUG